rnacentral:misc_RNA from 1 species
GACCACGCCCACGAGCCGGCUCGAACACGCCCGCGCCGCUGACUGGCGGGUGGGGUUGUCGACACGUUCAACCCGUUCUGCUGGCUCGAGAACGAAGUAGGCCGUCUCGCUCUGGGUCUCCAGGCCCGCGACCGUCCGCCAGUCGUCCCGAGGCCACUCUUCACCUCCACCAUGAGCCUGGACAUCCAGAGCCUGGACAUCCAGUGUGAGGAGCUGAGCGACGCUAGAUGGGCCGAGCUCCUCCCUCUGCUCCAGCAGUGCCAAGUGGUCAGGCUGGACGACUGUGGCCUCACGGAAGCACGGUGCAAGGACAUCAGCUCUGCACUUCGAGUCAACCCUGCACUGGCAGAGCUCAACCUGCGCAGCAACGAGCUGGGCGAUGUCGGCGUGCAUUGCGUGCUCCAGGGCCUGCAGACCCCCUCCUGCAAGAUCCAGAAGCUGAGGAGCUGCACCUCAGCGACAACCUCUUGGGGGAUGCGGGCCUGCAGCUGCUCUGCGAAGGACUCCUGGACCCCCAGUGCCGCCUGGAAAAGCUGCAGCUGGAGUAUUGCAGCCUCUCGGCUGCCAGCUGCGAGCCCCUGGCCUCCGUGCUCAGGGCCAAGCCGGACUUCAAGGAGCUCACGGUUAGCAACAACGACAUCAAUGAGGCUGGCGUCCGUGUGCUGUGCCAGGGCCUGAAGGACUCCCCCUGCCAGCUGGAGGCGCUCAAGCUGGAGAGCUGCGGUGUGACAUCAGACAACUGCCGGGACCUGUGCGGCAUUGUGGCCUCCAAGGCCUCGCUGCGGGAGCUGGCCCUGGGCAGCAACAAGCUGGGUGAUGUGGGCAUGGCGGAGCUGUGCCCAGGGCUGCUCCACC